GACGUAGGGCGCGAGCGUUGUCCGGAUUUAUUGGGCGUAAAGAGCUCGUAGGCGGCUUGUCGCGUCGACCGUGAAAACUUGGGGCUCAACCCCAAGCCUGCGGUCGAUACGGGCAGGCUCGAGUUCGGUAGGGGAGACUGGAAUUCCUGGUGUAGCGGUGAAAUGCGUAGAUAUCUGGAGGAACACCGGUGGCGAAGGCGGCAUCCUGGACCGGUAUUGACGCUGAGGCGCGAAAGCCAGGGGAGCAAACGGG
rnacentral:rRNA from 1 species